rnacentral:rRNA from 1 species
CCUACGGGAGGCAGCAGUGGGGAAUAUUGGGCAAUGGGCGCAAGCCUGACCCAGCAACGCCGCGUGAAGGAAGAAGGCUUUCGGGUUGUAAACUUCUUUUCUGAGGGACGAAGCAAGUGACGGUACCUGUGGAAUAAGCCACGGCUAACUACGUGCCAGCAGCCGCGGUAAUACGUAGGUGGCAAGCGUUAUCCGGAUUUACUGGGUGUAAAGGGCGUGUAGGCGGGAAAGCAAGUCAGAUGUGAAAACCAUGGGCUCAACCUGUGGCCUGCAUUUGAAACUGUUUUUCUUGAGUACUGGAGAGGCAGACGGAAUUCCUAGUGUAGCGGUGAAAUGCGUAGAUAUUAGGAGGAACACCAGUGGCGAAGGCGGUCUGCUGGACGGCAACUGACGCUGAGGCGCGAAAGCGUGGGGAGCAAACAGGAUUAGAUACCCUGGUAGUC